rnacentral:rRNA from 1 species
AGCGAACGCUGGCGGCAGGCCUAACACAUGCAAGUCGAACGAACCUUUCGGGGUUAGUGGCGGACGGGUGAGUAACACGUGGGAACGUGCCUUUAGGUUCGGAAUAACUCAGGGAAACUUGUGCUAAUACCGAAUGUGCCCUUCGGGGGAAAGAUUUAUCGCCCUUAGAGCGGCCCGCGUCUGAUUAGCUAGUUGGUUGAGGUAAUGGCUCACCAAGGCGACGAUCAGUAGCUGGUCUGAGAGGAUGAUCAGCCACAUUGGGACUGAGACACGGCCCAAACUCCUACGGGAGGCAGCAGUGGGGAAUCUUGCGCAAUGGGCGAAAGCCUGACGCAGCCAUGCCGCGUGAAUGAUGAAGGUCUUAGGAUUGUAAAAUUCUUUCACCGGGGACGAUAAUGACGGUACCCGGAGAAGAAGCCCCGGCUAACUUCGU